CCGAAUCGUCGACACGAGUUGUUGCUGGCCCUCAAACCGGGGCAUGUGCACGCUCUGUUUACACAUCCACUCACACCUGUGCACCCUCUGUAGCUCUGCGGUCCGGGGGACCCCCCUCUUCCGUCCGCGGUUCUACGUCUUACACACACACUGUAACGCGGUUUUAUGGAAUGUACGCAGCGUUUAACGCAAUACAAUA
rnacentral:misc_RNA from 1 species